GCUUGUGCAAUCCGGGCUGUUCCGGCAUGCAAUAUAUCCUAGAUUUUCAAGAAAAUUUAGAUCUAAACUGAGAAAAUCGAAACAGACAGCCGACAGACAUGGCAAGAUCAACUUAUCUAGUGAUGCUGAUCAAGGCCACAGCAAUUUUAAAAGUGAUUUACAAAAUGUUUGUGCCUGCCUAAAUUGUUUUAUACAACUAAAAAAAUAUUACACAAUCGAAACUUUUAAACGCCCACAUGAUAAUCAGCUGUAUUCUUUCAUUUAAUAACUUUAUGGAUUGUAAUGUAAUAACAUAUUUGUUCCCUAUACGAACAAGGUUUUUCAUUUUGUAAAACACACAAUUUCAUGUUUUUAAUGCACAUACGUGUAUAUCUAGAAAGGUCGUAACACAGUCAAGAAUGACAGAAAAGCUGUGUUAUGCAAAACGAGUACCUAAAGACUAAAAUGAAAAUUGGCAAAUCACAGAUGACUGCGUGGAUUUCUGUUUUCGUCAACUGCUAGACUCUUUGAGAGACAUAUGUAUGUUCACGAAUCCAUAUUAAUCAACAAAUACAUAACCGUACCAAAGGGCCCGAACCAACAAAUCGUUCUAAAAAUGGAUACUCCUGCUCUGAGCAAACUGGAACUAAAUGAGAGAGCUCAUUGAAAUUCUUAGUGCGCAUGUUACAAGCACAGUAAAAAUUCAACGUAAGAAUCAAGCAGAAAUCUUUAAUUUGAAGAACAAAUUCUAAAACUAUAAUGAACUCCAAAAACAAUUUUCAUAUAAAAUAUGAUAGAUAAAAAUGAAAACUGUAAACUGUAAAACUAUAAAGGAACCCCAGAAAACAAUUAUACAAAAUAGUUUAAUAGCCUUGAAAGUAGUAAUCUGUUUUAUUAUCUAUUCAAAAUGUAUUUAUUAAAAGUUUGAUUUUAAAUACAGAAAA